CCCUCCCCCUAUUUCACACAGAAAUCUCCGCCCUCCUCAGCGGCCAGCAACGCCGCAAUACUCGGUGUAAGAAAAUACGCCAUCCCUAUCACACUGCGCAGGCGUCGUAUGCCACCUCCCCUCUGCCUCAUGGCCGCGCCUCCUUCAGCUCCCUGCUCUCGUCGAACGCAGGCAAGGGGGCAUUGCGGUCUUGGUAGUUCUAAUAUCCGUAAGUUUACCGAUUGACCUGGAAGAAUGGACUACAAUUCCCAGAAAGCAUUGAGGCAUAACUUUCUGUUUCCAUAGAACUGGUGAGUAAAUGGCGUCGUUGUUUGCAUCGCUCAAACCAAUAGAAACUUGCAAGAGGCGGGCUCCAAAGAAUCCUACCCAAUCCUAGGUCGUCUAAGAGGCAUCCGGGAAAGAGGUAGGGGAGGGGAAAAGAACCGAGGGGAGGGGAGAAGGGGCAGGGGGGCCAGAGUGGGGGAAAGCGAUGUUUGCCCGUCAGUCGAGUCCGGAGUGAGGAGCUCGGGCGCUGGAGCGGAGGGAGAGUCUCCAGCCGCAGCUUGGUGCCGCGACGGCCACUGCCUGGACUUCUUCCCGGAGGGGGCCGGAGAAGGUCGGCUGCCGUGUUCCUCCGGAGGACAGUGAGACCGGGGCCCGGACCUCCGUCCGAGAGGGAUUUUUUGUCGCCCCCUCCCCCCGCGAGGGAGCCGGAGCGGCCG
rnacentral:lncRNA from 1 species